rnacentral:rRNA from 1 species
AAUUGACCUCGGAUCAGGUAGGGAUACCCGCUGAACUUAAGCAUAUCAAUAAGCGGAGGAAAAGAAACCAACAGGGAUUGCCUCAGUAACGGCGAGUGAAGCGGCAACAGCUCAAAUUUGAAAUCUGGUCUCAAAUACGGGACCCGAGUUGUAAUUUGUAGAGGAUGCUUCGGGUGCGGCACCGGUCUAAGUUCCUUGGAACGGGGCGUCAUAGAGGGUGAGAAUCCCGUAUGUGACCGGUGACCAAGUCCAUGUGAAGCUCCUUCGACGAGUCGAGUUGUUUGGGAAUGCAGCUCAAAAUGGGUGGUAAAUUUCAUCUAAAGCUAAAUACUGGCCAGAGACCGAUAGCGCACAAGUAGAGUGAUCGAAAGAUGAAAAGCACUUUGGAAAGAGAGUCAAAAAGUACGUGAAAUUGUUGAAAGGGAAGCGCUUGCAACCAGACCUGUCCGCGGGUGAUCAGCCGUCCCUUUGGGCGGUGUACUCGCCCGCGAUCAGGCCAGCAUCGGUUCGGGCGGCCGGAUAAAGGCCUUGGGAACGUAGCUCCUCUCCGGGGGAGUGUUAUAGCCCUCGGUGCAAUGCGGCCCGCCGGGACCGAGGACCGCGCUUCGGCUAGGAUGCUGGCAUAAUGGUUGUAAGCGGCCCGUCUUGAAACACGGACCAAGGAGUCUAACAUCUAUGCGAGUGUUUGGGUGUCAAACCCAUGCGCGUAAUGAAAGUGAACGGAGGUGGGAACCCUGAAGGGCGCACCAUCGACCGAUCCAGAUGUCUUCGGAUGGAUUUGAGUACGAGCAUAGCUGUUGGGACCCGAAAGAUGGUGAACUAUGCCUGAAUAGGGUGAAGCCAGAGGAAACUCUGGUGGAGGCUCGCAGCGGUUCUGACGUGCAAAUCGAUCGUCAAAUUUGGGUAUAGGGGUGAGUUUUUCCAUUGAAAUCUUUUUACAACGGGCGGAUAAGCUAACGAAUUUUCCAGGCGAAAGACUAAUCGAACCU